rnacentral:rRNA from 1 species
GACGAACCGUGCGAACGUUGUUCGGAAUCACUGGGCUUAAAGGGUGCGUAGGCGGGGCUUUAAGUCAGGGGUGAAAUCCUGGAGCUCAACUCCAGAACUGCCUUUGAUACUGAAGAUCUUGAGUUCGGGAGAGGUGAGUGGAACUGCGAGUGUAGAGGUGAAAUUCGUAGAUAUUCGCAAGAACACCAGUGGCGAAGGCGGCUCACUGGCCCGAUACUGACGCUGAGGCACGAAAGCGUGGGGAGCAAACAGG